UUUUAUAUAUGUCAAAUUAUGGAAGAAAACACGAAACUAGAGAAAAAAUUAACAUCGUAUUCCACGAACUUUAAGAUUUAAAAGAAAAUUGUAGUAGCAUGCGUUAUUUAACAAAUACUGGUAAAUAUCCAGACACAACAUUCAUAAAAAAUUUUAGUUUUAGACAAUAAACUAAUCAAGGAAUGGGCUACCAGAUCUGGGCAUGGAGAUGGAAGAGAGGAUGAUGACUGAUGGUGGCUGUCGAUCUGGAGGGUGGCCGAGUGAGGGGAAUAGGGUGGUGGCUGGCAGCGUUCUUAUGGUUUUCGGUGGUUACAUAGAAGUGGAGAAUCGAUAGAUUUGGGCAGUUGGUUUUUGUCUAGCGGUUGGAGACGGAUCUGGCAUAAUUUCACCGGCGGCAAUGGGGAUUUGGGGAGGGAGAUCGAAGAGUAGUAUUGUUGGUCGAGUUUAGUGGGUGUAUGGUGAAAGGGAGAGGAGGACGGAGGGGAUCCUCCAUUGGACACUGGUGAAGAUGGCGGCGGUGGUGGUCAAAGGUUUUUCCGAGAGAAGAUAGAGAGAGAGAGGGGGUAGGGCAAC
rnacentral:lncRNA from 1 species